rnacentral:sRNA from 1 species
UAAUGUGUUAGAGACACUAAGGGAACGAAAGAGACAAGGCUUGCUCACAGCCGGUUGUAUACAGAGCAAUUUGUCAGUUAAAAAAUAAAUAAACAACUAAUACUACCAAAACGCUUAAAAAUAGAUAACAAAACGAACUGUUAACAGUAACAGUGAUGUAGGAAACAUAUAAACCGUAAUUAUAAGGCCAUUGAAUGAAUGUGAAAAACAUAUUUGUAUCACAGAGGAUUUCAUGUACAUAAGUUUCAUUCUGUACAAAGCUUACGAACCUCUGUUGUGGUCUGAGUCGGUGUUAAAAUAUUCGUGGAUAA